AUACGGAGGGGGUUAGCGUUGUUCGGAAUUACUGGGCGUAAAGCGUACGUAGGCGGACUGGAAAGUUGGGGGUGAAAUCCCGGGGCUCAACCCCGGAACUGCCUCCAAAACUUCCAAUCUAGAGAUCGAGAGAGGUGAGUGGAAUUCCAAGUGUAGAGGUGAAAUUCGUAGAUAUUUGGAGGAACACCAGUGGCGAAGGCGGCUCACUGGUUCGAUACUGACGCUGAGGUACGAAAGCGUGGGGAGCAAACAGGAUUAGAAACCCUAGUAGUCC
rnacentral:rRNA from 1 species